rnacentral:rRNA from 1 species
CAAUAGCGUAUAUUAAAGUUGUUGCAGUUAAAAAGCUCGUAGUUGGAUUUCUGCUGAGGACGAUCGGUCCGCCCACUGGGUGAGUAUCUGGCUCGGCCUUGGCAUCUUCUUGGAGAACGUUGCUGCACUUGACUGUGUGGCGCGGUAUCCAGGACUUUUACUUUGAGGAAAUUAGAGUGUUUCAAGCAGGCGCACGCCUUGAAUACAUUAGCAUGGAAUAAUGAGAUAGGACCUUGGUUCUAUUUUGUUGGUUUCUAGAGCUGAGGUAAUGAUUAAUAGGGAUAGUUGGGGGCAUUCGUAUUUAACUGUAAGAGGUGAAAUUCUUGGAUUUGUUAAAGACGGACUACUGCGAAAGCAUUUGCCAAGGAUGUUUUCAUUGA